UUCUACGAUUUGCAGACAGAGAGAUGGGACAAGGGUGAGAGAGAGAUGGGAGGAUUUUCUGCAAGGGUAAAGGGAACGGGUAAGGGAGGUUGGGUAUGGGUAGGGGAUGGAAAAACAUUUCGUUUUCCAUUUGCUUCCUCAAACCCGAGUGAUUUCUGCGAUUGCUGAGAAAGAUGGGGGUGUCCGUUAGGUGCCCUUUAAGUGUCACUUUUGUGAUUUGUCCACCCUUAAUUGUUGUGUGAUUCAUUCUCACAUGAACGUUCUAUGCACAAGGUUUCAUGUUAUUCCUUCCUUUUAAUUUUGAUAUUAUUGUGCUUAAUUUCUGUUUUGUUUUAUUGGGUGAUUAGAUUAACAGACCUUGGAUAUUUUGGUAUAAUAAUUUCACAUCACGUGUUGCCCUUUUGCAUCACCUUAAUUGUUCAUGAGAAGCUAACUUAUAAUUAUGUUUUCUUUGGGUCAGUCUCCAUCUAGUACAUUUGUCUAUCCUUCUGGAGUGGAGCACUAUCUUUCUGACAACAUUAAUGCGAGAAACUACUAAGGAGACAAACAGUUGUUUACUCCAUUCUAGAUAAUGCUGCCUUUUUGGAUUUCGUAUGAGUGUCCUGGGUCGGUUCUGGACCAUCAAAAGAGGGAUGAUCGUUGUCAUUCGGACUGCAGGCGUCCACUUCAAAAUCCUGGUAAACACAUCAUUUUCUUGAUUUCAGGCCAUGCAAAAUUCAUGGUGAAAAAGCUGAGCUCAUGUCGUUGGUUUGUGCCUCUGCCCUAUUUCUUAUUUGUUUAUUUUAUCAAUCCUUUUCCUUGGUUCUAUUUGUUGCUGAUGGUUCCGAUAUUUCAUUGUCCUAUCUGUGCAUGGUAUCAGUGCUGCCACUUUUCAUAUUCUUAUCAAUGCUUACAUCUUCACUCUUUUUCCUUCUGUUUCUUUUGCUUAACAUGGUUUCGGCUUUUUGAGAUUGUGUGUUUGAUUAACAUUUGAUCGGAUGGUGUUAGAAUUUAAAUUUGAUGUGAAUAAAUUCUGCCGGCGGGGAUUUUGGUCUCUGGAUUUUUCAUGGUGUAAUUUUUAUGGCAUGAUCCAUUGGUGUACUGUGCAUUUUAUCAACAAUAAUAAGCUUUCUCUCAGUAUUGCAAACAAGUUUUCUUAUAAUUGAGAGACGAGUGCAUGGUGCAUGUGUCUUAAUUUAUUCAGGUUAAAUAUGUCUUA